GACCCAGGCUGACCCCCAGGUGAGGUGGCUAGCACAAUCUCACACAUGGCCCUGACAGCUGGAGUAGGAAGGACUACAGCAUAUAGACCCAGGGACAAAGAGAAGCUGCAUGUACUGGAGAGAAGCAGGCCGGGGAAGUGCGGCAGCAGUGAGAGGCCGAUCAAUCUCCACUUUACAGCUGACAGAAUGGUGCUAAUAACUUAUUGAUCUCAGCCACCUCGCUGCCAUUGGCCUGGGCUCGGCAGCCCAACCCCUGCCCUGGGAGACGAGGUCCUCGCUGCUUGGUUGAAGGGUCCCCACCUCAGUGACCUGGCAGGACAGGUAGGGGGCACAACCAGCAUGAGGGCCAGCCCCCAACAGCCUUGGGGCCUCAGGGCAGGAGGGCCACAACACCCAGCUGUGCUGGGCCUGGAAGUGGCUUUGGGCUGGGUCCACACCCCAUCCUGCAUACACCCCUUCUGGGUUUAGCAAAGAACCCAGCACCCUCACUUCCCUGAGUUCUGUUUCCCAUUUUCCACAGUGGAACCUCCCCUUCCCCUUUCUCUUGGGGGAUGAAGGCUCCCCUCUGUCUGGGGGAGGUGCUGCUGGAGGCAGAAGGGCCCACAGUGAGACUCAGCCCCGGGACUACAGUAAGAUCCCGCCAUGGAGAUCUGGGGGCCCACCAGUCCCUGAUGAGGGCCACACUCACUCAUAGACCCACAUACACAGUUGUAAGAUGCCAGCACGGACCCCAGCUGAGCCCCUCACAGUCCUCCGCGGCCCUUCCUGUCUAGGAUCCAGGGAAGGACCAGGGCUGGGGUUGUGGGAAUAAGAUUGACAAGCGGCUCCCGGAGAAGCAAGAGGAGGUGACGGCAGGCAAAUGUCUCCACCCAAGGGCCCACAGGCACAAGUGGAAGCCAAUGGGGGACUGCAGCCCCGAGGAGAGGGCAAACUCUGACAAAACCUGGGCACGGCGCACACAUGUGACACUCCAUGCAGAGCACCUGUGACCCCUGACACGCUUGUACGCCCGUCUCAGCGUAAAGUGAGAGUGAGGACACAGCUCCUCACCUGCAGCUCCCAGGCCGAUCUCCACACCACCUCUCUGGAAUUCACAGCGGCUCUGAUGCUCGGGCAUAACGAGGUGGCGGCUACGAUGGACGCUGGAUAUGAGGGUGGGCAGGUCACUGUCCUGGCUGUUGUGAAGCAAGACAGCGAGGCUCAAUCCUACAGCACAGAGUCCCAGAGAAAACA